CACCCGAACCUACUUUCAUAACCGAGCCUCCACCCUCAUCUCCUGCUCACUCCGCAGACAAUGAAGAACCUUUUCUUGGUGGGGANCCUCACCUCCACCCUCAUCUCCUGCUCACUCCGCAGACAAUGAAGAACCGUUUCUUGGUGGGGAGAACAUGACAUUUGAUUCGGUCUAUUACAGUCUGUAUCAGAUGCAAAGUGAUGAUGACGAUGAUGCUCCUGUCACCAAGAAGCAUCUCAAGGAGCUUCACGAGAAGAUUGAUUCUCUCAUUGCUUCGUCUUUUUCUUCCUCAUAGUCUACCAUCUUCGAGGCUGCUAUUCAGGGGAUUGUUGAUGCUUUCAUUAAGGCUCAUGAAGCCUCCAUUAGCUCAGCCUCUGCCGCUAUUAACGCCUCCACCAAGGCAUGUGCUGCUGCGACCGAAAAAGUCAAAAAACUAUUUGUUGACGCUUCUUCUAUUUUGCAGUCUUUACAGGGAACUGCUAAUUCCAACGCAGAGAGGCUUGACUCUCUUGUCAACCAGAUUGCUACCUCGGUUGCCUCUGAACUGCAAUCGUUUGCCAGUCUUUGUCAAGCUCUCACUGAUGACAACUCAUCGUUUAAGGCGACUAUUGACGAGCGCCUAACUAAGAUACAAGAAAAUCUAGCUGUCGAGAACUCACUCAUGGACGCUCUCGCUCGAAAGACCACUGCUCUCAAGGUCAAGAAUCUUCAACUCUCCAAUUCUCAAAAGGAGAUUGAAUCUCUUCGAUCUGAACGAGAGAUUGUUUCUUCAUGUGUUUC
rnacentral:lncRNA from 1 species